rnacentral:rRNA from 1 species
CGAGGGGCAGCAUGGUCUUAGCUUGCUAAGGCUGAUGGCGACCGGCGCACGGGUGAGUAACACGUAUCCAACCUGCCGUCUACUCUUGGCCAGCCUUCUGAAAGGAAGAUUAAUCCAGGAUGGGAUCAUGAGUUCACAUGUCCGCAUGAUUAAAGGUAUUUUCCGGUAGACGAUGGGGAUGCGUUCCAUUAGAUAGUAGGCGGGGUAACGGCCCACCUAGUCAACGAUGGAUAGGGGUUCUGAGAGGAAGGUCCCCCACAUUGGAACUGAGACACGGUCCAAACUCCUACGGGAGGCAGCAGUGAGGAAUAUUGGUCAAUGGGCGAUGGCCUGAACCAGCCAAGUAGCGUGAAGGAUGACUGCCCUAUGGGUUGUAAACUUCUUUUAUAAAGGAAUAAAGUCGGGUAUGCAUACCCGUUUGCAUGUACUUUAUGAAUAAGGAUCGGCUAACUCCGUGCCAGCAGCCGCGGUAAUACGGAGGAUCCGAGCGUUAUCCGGAUUUAUUGGGUUUAA